CAGCUACUCCCUCUGUCCCAAAUUUCUUGUCUUAGAUUUGUCUAGAUACGGAUGUAUCUAAUACUAAAAUGUGACUUGAUACAUCCGUAUCUAGACAAAUCUAAGACAAGAAUUUUGGGACGGAGGGAGUACUUU
rfam:Triticum aestivum genome assembly, contig: Triticum_aestivum_CS42_TGACv1_scaffold_223228_3B